rnacentral:rRNA from 2 species
UACAGAGGUCUCAAGCGUUGUUCGGAUUCAUUGGGCGUAAAGGGUGCGUAGGUGGCGCCGUAAGUCAGGUGUGAAAUCUCGGGGCUCAACCCCGAAACUGCACUUGAUACUGCGGUGCUCGAGUACUGGAGAGGAGAUUGGAAUUUACGGUGUAGCAGUGAAAUGCGUAGAUAUCGUAAGGAAGACCAGUGGCGAAGGCGAAUCUCUGGACAGUUACUGACACUGAGGCACGAAGGCCAGGGGAGCAAACGGG